CACGGGGGGAGCAAGCGUUGUUCGGAAUCACUGGGCGUAAAGGGCGUGUAGGCGGUCAGGUAAGUGGGAUGUGAAAGCCCUCGGCUCACCCGAGGAUCUGCAUCUCAAACUGCCUGGCUUGAGUAUGGGAGAGGAUGAGGGAAUUCCUGGUGUAGCGGUGAAAUGCGUAGAUAUCAGGAGGAACACCGGUGGCGAAGGCGCUCAUCUGGCCCAAUACUGACGCUGAGGCGCGAAAGCUAGGGGAGCAAACGGG
rnacentral:rRNA from 1 species